rnacentral:rRNA from 1 species
UACGAAGGGGUCUAGCGUUGUUCGGAUUUACUGGGCGUAAAGCGCACGUAGGCGGAUUGCUAAGUCAGGGGUGAAAUCCUGGAGCUCAACUCCAGAACUGCCUUUGAUACUGGCGAUCUUGAGUCCGGGAGAGGUGAGUGGAACUGCGAGUGUAGAGGUGAAAUUCGUAGAUAUUCGCAAGAACACCAGUGGCGAAGGCGGCUCACUGGCCCGGUACUGACGCUGAGGUGCGAAAGCGUGGGGAGCAAACAGG